GUGGUAUGGAAUGUAUGAUCUUUAUUAAUUUUUAAUCCAUCAAUCUAAAAUCACACAUACUAGAUCAAACAGAAGUACCACAGUAUGCUUUAUUUUGCAGGUAUUAAUUGGUUCUCUAAAUCGAUACAUCCAAAACUUUAGUUAGCAGCAAGCAUCAGUUCUUCCAAAGCAGCUUAGGUGAAAAACAAUUGUUUACAUUCACCAGUUCAAAGUCGUACUGUCUGAUCCACUGUUGUAUUGACAUAAAAUUGAACUCAGUAGGCAAAGCUAAUUGAACACUCAGCUCAUAGAUUUUGAGCUUCCUUUAUCUUAUUGGAGUUGAAGCAGUUUUUAACCCUCUGUUAAUAUUCUCUAUUUUAAUUCUCAAAGAAUUAAACACACAUAUUUUCUAAUUAAUUAAGAUAGAGCCAUGAUAACUAUUGAGGAAUUAGUGAUAUUAGUCUCAUACCCAAAAGGUAGAACACUUUUAAAUGAACCCAUAAUUUUGAAUGUAUCUGAAUUUCCAGUUUAUAUGCUUAGCAAGGUCACAAGCUGAUUUUAUUAAUCUGGCUUCUAGAUAAUCAUCUCAAAAAUAUGUAUUGAAACAAAGCCACUGUUUUUUAUGAUGACAUCAUUUUAACCAAAUGCUUUUAUAACAAAUAAGCAGUUGUUCUCAAAAGAGAACAUUUUAAAAGAAAACAUUCUUUACAUACUUAGCAAAUAGAGGAGAGUGUGAAUCUGUAUGUCAGAGCUAUAGAGUUCUAGAGGAGUUGUAGUUGAGCAAUCUAACUUUCUACUCCAGUUUUUGAGAUGUACAUGUUUUUGAGAUGUACAUAUAGAGAAGGCAGUAAAGAAAGAUCUUGAUAAAUUUUCUUUAACAAAAAUUUGUAAUUCCAGUUAUUGGCAAAGGGUUCUGGCAUGAGUUAAUGGCAGCAAUACAGUGGUGAGCUUCUGCAUUGUGCUGAGAGAAAAAAGAAAUCAAUAUAUUAAAAAUAUCAACUAGAGCAUAUUCACAUAGGGAAUGGGAGAGUGCAGGAGGCACACAAACAAAGUAUAUAGAGUUUUUGUUUUCAGUGCAGGAUAAAUGAACCUUCUUAACAAGUUAAGGCUCUGAGGGAAAAAAACUUUCUAAACCAUAACCUUAAUAAACCAUAACCCAUACAGGUGUUCCAAAUCAACACCUUUUUUAAAAAAAGCUGGAGGUCUUACUUCAUCCUUCAGUAUAAAUGUCAAGUCUGAGAUAAUCAGUAUAUUCCAAACUCUAGAACAACAACAACAAAAAAAGAAAUCUCCUUGUUAAAAUAUAGUAGCUA
rnacentral:lncRNA from 1 species